AAAAACCUAACCCUAACCCUAGCCCUAGCCAAAAACCUAACCCUAACCCUAACCCUAGCCAAAAAGCUAACCCUAACCCUAACCCUAGCCCUUGCCAAAAACCUAACCCUAGCUGUCUCUCUAUCUCUCUAUAUCUGUAUGUCUGUAUGUCUGUCUCUCUGUCUGUCUGUGUCUGUCUCCCUAUCUGUCUGUCUCUGUGUCUGUCUCUCUGUCUCUUUCGCUCUGUCUGUCUCUGUCUGUCUGUCUCUUUGUCACUGUCUGUGACUCUGUCUGUCUAUCUCACUGUCUCUCUUUCUCUGUCUUCCUGUCUGUCUCUCUCUGUCACUGUCUCUCUGUCUCUCUUUCACUCUCAGUUUCUGUCUCUCUGUCUCUGUCUCUGUCUGUCUGUAUCUCUGACUCUGUCUGUCUCUGUCUCGCUAUCUGUCCUUCUGACUCUCUGUCUCUCUCAGACUGUCUGUCUCUCUGUCUCUUUGUCUGUCUCUGUCUGUCUCUGUCUCGCUGUCCCUUUGUCUGUCUCUCUGUCUCUGUCUCUCUGUCUCUGUCUCUGUCUGUCUCUAACUCUGUCUGUGUCUGUCUGUCUGACACUCUGUCUCUCUGUUUGUCUCUCUAUCUCUGUCUCUGUCUCUCUCUUGGACUGUCUCUCUGUCUGUCUCUCUGUGAAGUAAAGAUAAUUAGAAG
ensembl:lncRNA